UUAGACUUGUAAUAUACAAUAUCGAAUGUCAUAGAAACUUUAAAAAAAGCUCCGUUUUCUCAUUGAAUAAAAUUUAUAAUAAUUCUUAAUUGCAUUGUUAUAAUAAGACUCUUUUAUUCAAAAUUUGUUGUUUCUAAGUUACAGCAGUUCAAUUUUCAUGCAAACGUUUCAAAACUCCGAAAUUUUUGUUACUAUUCCUAAACCUGAAAUUGUUGAUGAAAUUGUUUUAAUUGAUUUGAUUGGAGUUCUGGGUGUCCGAGGAGUCAAUCAAAAUCACAAACAUGGAGCUUGUUACAAAUUUUCAGCUCAUGAAUAUGUAUUCUCACUUCGUAUAUUUUAUUUGUUCAUUAUUAUUAAUGUUUAAAAACAUUAUUGUAUUUAAAACAAUGGCGACGAAAUUCGCUGAAGUACGAAGCAUUCUUACUUUAUUAAUUUCAAUGGUAAGUUUUCUGACUGCUCAAUCUAUAAUAAUACAUCUACUAAUAUACCAUUGGAAGAUAAAGUAGUUUUUUAACUACUGCUAUAAUUAAAAUAAAAAACUAAUUAUUUCAUUUAUAAUUUAUUCAAUAAUUUUUCUGGUUAUAAAAUUAAAAUUAAUUAAAACUUAU